rnacentral:ncRNA from 1 species
AAAUAAAUUUUUAUGAUUUAUAAAUUUUAUUUUAAAUUUAAUUUAUAUAUAAAUUUUAGUGUGUAAUUUAUUGUAUUUAAAUAAUUUAAUGAAAAUAACUUUUAGUAAAUAAUAUUAAAAAUUUAAGAAAUUAAGAUUUAGUAAUAUAAAAAUUAAAUAACAAAUUUUGUGCCAGCAGUUGCGGUUAUACAAAAAUUUAUAUAAAAUUUUUCAGUAAUAAUAAAUAAUAUAAAUUAAAUUAAUUUGUAAAAAAUGAAAUUAUUAAGUGAAAUUUUAAUUUUAUAAAAGUAAUAUUAAAUAUUAUGAUUUAAUAAAAUUUUAUUAUUAAACUAGGAUUAGAUACCCUAUUAUAAAAAAAAUUAAUAAUUAAUACUAAAAUAGUAAAUAAUAUUUUAUUGAAACUUAAAUAAUUUGGCGGUAUUUUAGUUCAUUUAGAGGAAUCUGUUUAAUAAUUGAUAGUCCACGAAUAAAUUUACUUAAUUUAAAAUUUUAUAUAUCGUUGUUAAAAAAAUAUUUUUAAAAAAAAAUAAUAUUUAAAAAUUAAUAAAAAAAUUAGUUCAGAUCAAGAUGUAAAUUAUAAUUAAGAAUAUAAUGGAUUACAAUAAUAAUAAUUAAAUGAAUAUUAAUUUGAAAAAUUAAUUGAAAGUGGAUUUAAAUGUAAUUUUAUUUAAUUUAAUAAAAUGAUUAAAUAUUAAAAUAUGUACAUAUUGCCCGUCACUUUCAUUUAAAAAUUGGAAUAAGUCGUAACAAAGUAGAGGUACUGGAAAGUGUUUCUAGAAAGAA